rnacentral:rRNA from 1 species
AUACGGAGGGCGCAAGCGUUGUUCGGAAUUACUGGGCGUAAAGCGCGUGUAGGCGGUUCGGCAAGUCGGGUGUGAAAGCCCAGGGCUCAACCCUGGAAUUGCAUUCGAAACUGCCGGGCUAGAGUCCCGGAGAGGAAGGCAGAAUUCCCAGUGUAGGGGUGAAGUCCGUAGAUAUUAGGAGGAACACCAGUGGCGAAGGCGGCUCACUGGCCCAUUACUGACGCUGAGGUACGAAAGCGUGGGGAGCAAACAGGAUUAGAAACCCCAGUAGUCC